AUUCUAAUAGCUUAACCUACAAAGCAUUGGUCUUGUAAACCAAAGACUGAAGACUACAAUCUUCUUAGAAUA
rnacentral:tRNA from 1 species